rnacentral:rRNA from 1 species
UACGAGAGGCCCAAACGUUAUUCGGAAUCACUGGGCUUAAAGGGUGCGUAGGCGGCGCUGAAAGUUGGGUGUGAAAUCCCUCGGCUCAACCGAGGAACUGCAUUCAAAACUACAGUGCUUGAGGGAGAUAGAGGUGAGCGGAACUUAGGGUGGAGCGGUGAAAUGCGUUGAUAUCCUAAGGAACACCCGUGGCGAAAGCGGCUCACUGGGUCUCUUCUGACGCUGAGGCACGAAAGCUAGGGGAGCGAACGGG